ACAAUAUAGUUUAUCAUUUUAGUGUUCGUUAUUUUUCUAUCGGAAUAACAACGAACUAUCAGUAUGAAAUACAUCUGGUAUUUCUUGUGUUAUUAUUAAUUGUGAUGAUCGCGUUGCCACCGUUCCGAAGCUAAAAGGAGUAUUUUAGAUGAUGACUAUAUAGAUCAUCUAACAAAACAUAGCAAAAGGAUGAUAAUAUUAUUAAUGGAAAUAAUAGAAAAAAUAUAAUUCGGUUAAUGGUCGCACUAUAUCAAGUGGCAAUAUAUUGAAAAUAGAUAUCUGGUUAAGUGGCUACGUUGUGGCUCAAUUGUUGUUCCUUUUACUGAGACGGUGUAUGUAAAUAGUUUGUGCCAGUUAUAAUUUAAGAAAAUUUUAUGCCAAAAACAAUUUUCAAAUGUUGAUGCAUUUUUCUUUAAGUUUUCGAAUAAAGAAUUUCUUUUUUGAAAGGUAAAGUAAC